GUUGAAACACCGCUUCCCGUAUGAUCACCGAAGUUAAACGACGUCGAGCCUAGCCAGUACCUAGAUGGGUGACUGCUUGUGAAUGCCAAGUGUUGUAA